GUAUAGAGUAUGUUGGGGAUUUAGAACCAAAAACUGAUCUGAGUUUCAUAUCUUCAAGUUCAGCAUUGAUUUCAAAAUAAGGACCAUUGAGCUUGAUGGAAAGCGAAUCAAAUUGCAAAUAUGGGAUACAGCCGGUCAAGAGCGUUUCCGAACUAUCACAACGGUGGCACUGAGGAAGAAGUGUGGGCUACUGGAGUCUGGAACUGAGUGCAGUCACAUGCAAACAGAACAAACAACAAAAAAUAUAAACUCUGCAACUCAUUGGAUUGACCAGAUGGGGUACUCCUUUCCUGACAAGGGAAUUCUUUCACGAGAUGGGAUCAAUACUGGGAGAUCAGGUACUACUUAUUGUUGCUAAAGACGAGGGUGAACUAGUUGGGGGUGCCCUUAACCUUAUUGGAGGAGAUACUUUGUUUGGGCGUCUAUGGGGGUGUCAGCCUGAAACUUACUAUCCAUUUUUGCAUUUUGAAGCAUGCUAUUAUCAGGUUAACAAUGCCUCAUUAUCUCUCUCCUCAUGUAUGGGGGUGUCAGCCUGAAAGUGUUUGGCACAUGAACAGAUCAAA